rnacentral:lncRNA from 1 species
CUACCCGAGGGGGAGGACAGGGGGGUACCCUUCUCCCUUCUCCCACCCCUCUUCUCCUUUCUCCUACCCCCAUUCUCCUUUCUCCCAUUAGAAUAAACAUCUCCUUUUGAGAUAUUUUUUCUUGAAAUAUUAGAUCAUUUUUUAAAAGGAGAGAUAUUUUAUUUUUUCUCCUUUCUCCCAGCCUUCCUCUCCUUUCUCCUACCCCCUUUCUCCUUUCUCCUACCCCCUUUCUCCCUGUCUCCCUUACCCCUGUCCUCCCCCUCAUA